GACGAAGCGUCCAAACGUUAUUCGGAAUCACUGGGCUUACAGAGUUCGUAGGCGGUCUGGAAAGUUGGGUGUGAAAUCCCUCGGCCCAACCGAGGAACUGCGCCCAGUACUGCGUUGCUUGAGGAUCCAAGGGGUGCAUGGAAUUCCCGGUGUAGCGGUGAAAUGCGUUGAUAUCGGGAGGAACUCCGGCGGCGAAAGCGGUGCACUGGUGGAUUACUGACGCUGAGGUGCGAAAGCCAGGGGAGCAAACGGG
rnacentral:rRNA from 1 species